rnacentral:rRNA from 1 species
CCUACGGGAGGCAGCAGUGGGGAAUAUUGCACAAUGGGCGCAAGCCUGAUGCAGCCAUGCCGCGUGUGUGAAGAAGGCCUUCGGGUUGUAAAGCACUUUCAGCGGGGAGGAAGGCGGUGAGGUUAAUAACCUCAUCGAUUGACGUUACCCGCAGAAGAAGCACCGGCUAACUCCGUGCCAGCAGCCGCGGUAAUACGGAGGGUGCAAGCGUUAAUCGGAAUUACUGGGCGUAAAGCGCACGCAGGCGGUCUGUCAAGUCGGAUGUGAAAUCCCCAGGCUCAACCUGGGAACUGCAUUCGAAACUGGCAGGCUAGAGUCUUGUAGAGGGGGGUAGAAUUCCAGGUGUAGCGGUGAAAUGCGUAGAGAUCUGGAGGAAUACCGGUGGCGAAGGCGGCCCCCUGGACAAAGACUGACGCUCAGGUGCGAAAGCGUGGGGAGCAAACAGGAUUAGAUACCCUAGUAGUC